rnacentral:lncRNA from 1 species
UCAAGACCACCUCUCAAACUAAAGGACGACGAGGUGGUUCCACAAUGAGCGAAUAGCAAAAAAGAGUAUAUUAAUUCAGAACUCUAUAGCCUUUUUACUGUCCAUAAUGAGUUGUUAGAUGGUAAUGUUUGUAUCUUUUUUCCUUUGCAGUGGUUCCCAACGCAGUCUACUCAAGAUCACCUCUCAAACUACAUGAUUCUUGGACAUACAAAUGUACAUGUAUUUUUAUCAGACUACAAUGACUGUUUGUAAGUCCUCAUGAAGAUCCAUCACAAGGGGUUGGACUAGAGUCGUGUGUGUAUUCGACAGUAGUGCUCCUCCAUGUCGAAUGCAUGGACAACUUUAGUCCACCCCUAGUGAUGGCCUGUGAAACAUCAUCUUUCCUACACAUCCCAUCCCCAUCCUCACCCCACUCGAGAGAGCGUCGCAGCCUAAGCCUGACUAUGCUUCCCGGGGAGUUGGAGGAGCGAAUGGAAAAAAGAGGUAUAUUGGGGCCUCUCCGCUAGCUGACGACAAGGUGGUUCCAUAAUGAGCAAAAGUCGAAAAAGAGGUAUAUUAAGUUAGAACCCUGUAGACUUUUUACUACCCAUAAUGAGUUGUUAGAUGAUAAUGUGUGUAUCUUUUUCCUUUGCAGUGGUUUCGAACGCAGUCUACUCAAGAUCACCUCUUAAAUACUCCCUCUAUACCACAAUAUUUGUAUCUAAGGGAGCUUGUAUUAAUUUUCCCCAAUAACAAGUAUUCAGGUACAGAAAGAUUAUUUCAUAGUUGAACAUGCAAAUGUACAAAUAUUUCUUCCUAAGUAGAAUCACUAUCUCGAAGUCCUCAUGAAGAUAUUGAAGGAUGAGCGGUCGACCAUCACAAGGGGUUGGCUAGAGUCGUGUGUGCAUUCGACAUGGAGGAGGGCACACUACAUGCAUUAUGCUUCACCUUGUACAACUACGAGAAUAUCUUUUGCCUCUUUCUUUACCGUCUUUAAUACAAGUAUUCAACCGUCGUUCAUCAUUCUUUAUUUGGUGCUUAUGUAAAUUUUUUUGUUGACAUAAUUCUUGAAUGUAUGUACGUGUGAAUCGAAUAAUGCAUUGGUUGU